AAUCCUUGGUGUGGACAUGCUCUUAAUAGAUCUUUGUAUUUUUCCCAAGCGUCAAAAAGAGAUUCACCAUCUUAUUGGGUAAAUUUGGUUAUUUGGUUUCAUAGACC